rnacentral:tRNA from 1 species
GGGGGUACAGCUCAGUGGCAGAGCAUGUGCUUAGCAUGCAUGAGGUCCUGGGUUCAAUCCCCAGUACCUCCA